rnacentral:rRNA from 1 species
UACGUAGGGUGCAAGCGUUAUCCGGAAUUAUUGGGCGUAAAGAGCUCGUAGGCGGUUUGUCGCGUCUGCUGUGAAAACUGGGGGCUCAACCCCCCAGCCUGCAGUGGGUACGGGCAGACUAGAGUGCGGUAGGGGAGAUUGGAAUUCCUGGUGUAGCGGUGGAAUGCGCAGAUAUCAGGAGGAACACCGAUGGCGAAGGCAGGUCUCUGGGCCACUACUGACGCUGAGAAGCGAAAG